rnacentral:rRNA from 1 species
CCUACGGGAGGCAGCAGUGGGGAAUAUUGGGCAAUGGGCGAAAGCCUGACCCAGCAACGCCGCGUGAAGGAAGAAGGCUUUCGGGUUGUAAACUUCUUUUGACAGGGAAGAGCAGAAGACGGUACCUGUCGAAUAAGCCACGGCUAACUACGUGCCAGCAGCCGCGGUAAUACGUAGGUGGCAAGCGUUGUCCGGAUUUACUGGGUGUAAAGGGAGCGUAGGCGGCCCUGUAAGUCUGAUGUGAAAAUUUGGGGCUCAACCCCAAACGUGCAUUGGAAACUGCAGGGCUUGAGUGCCGGAGAGGCAGGCGGAAUUCCUAGUGUAGCGGUGAAAUGCGUAGAUAUUAGGAGGAACACCAGUGGCGAAGGCGGCCUGCUGGACGGUAACUGACGCUGAGGCUCGAAAGCGUGGGGAGCAAACAGGAUUAGAUACCCGGGUAGUC